AUGAGGGUGGACAAGAGCUGGGAUGCAGAGCCCUGAAUUCCGACAGAGAGGCCAAUACUCUCUCAGCUCACUGCACGGCUUGGGCAGACACCGAGCAAGCAGUGAUUUGAGGACAAGUGUAUUUCCCGCCUUCAGUUACUACACACAAAAACUCACAGAAGACCCAUCAUCAAUAAGGAUUCGAGGCUCGCCUUGAUAUGGAACAAGUUCACAGGGCAAACAAGAUAGACAACAGAAAGCCACUGGCCAGUUUGCCUAUGAAAGAUGUGAGAAGAAGCAGGCAAAGACAGAGUGAGGAUGUCUUCUUGUCCUUUGAUUGAAAACACAUCACGGGGACACUAGGAAGUUUCCGAACUAUCCAAACAACUUUCAGAUCCUGGAAAUGAAAAUGUUAAUGCAGGUUAUGGAGAGGGCUUCAGGCUCUUAUAAUAAUGCCAACCUUAAGACCCUCAACUUGGUUUAGGGUUGUUAAUGUCACAGCUUAGGGAUAAACCUGAGGUGGCCAUCAUGGAGCUCCUUGGCUUAAGGCUUGGGGGACAUGAUGAGAUGAGGGGGUACAAGAGUCAGAGGACUCUGAGAUGGGUAUGGAGGAA